ACCUGGCUGGCUCAGUCUGUAGAGCAUGAGACUCUUGAUCUUAGGGUCAUGAGUUCAAGCCCCAUGUUGGCUG
rnacentral:tRNA from 1 species